CCUACGGGCGGCAGCAGUGGGGAAUAUUGGACAAUGGGGGGAACCCUGAUCCAGCCAUGCCGCGUGUGUGAAGAAGGCCCUCGGGUUGUAAAGCACUUUCAGUGAGGAAGAACGCCUGGUGGUUAAUACCCAUCAGGAAAGACAUCACUCACAGAAGAAGCACCGGCUAACUCCGUGCCAGCAGCCGCGGUAAUACGGAGGGUGCGAGCGUUAAUCGGAAUUACUGGGCGUAAAGCGCGCGUAGGUGGCUUGAUAAGCCGGUUGUGAAAGCCCCGGGCUCAACCUGGGAACGGCAUCCGGAACUGUCAAGCUAGAGUGCAGGAGAGGAAGGUAGAAUUCCCGGUGUAGCGGUGAAAUGCGUAGAGCUCGGGAGGAAUACCAGUGGCGAAGGCGGCCUUCUGGACUGACACUGACACUGAGGUGCGAAAGCGUGGGUAGCAAACAGGAUUAGAUACCCGAGUAGUC
rnacentral:rRNA from 1 species